rnacentral:rRNA from 1 species
AACGAACGCUGGCGGCAUGCCUAACACAUGCAAGUCGAACGAGACCUUCGGGUCUAGUGGCGCACGGGUGCGUAACGCGUGGGAACCUGCCCUUAGGUUCGGAAUAACUCCCCGAAAGGGGUGCUAAUACCGGAUAAUGUCUUCGGACCAAAGAUUUAUCGCCUUUGGAUGGGCCCGCGUUGGAUUAUCUAGUUGGUAGGGUAAAAGCCUACCAAGGCGACGAUCCAUAGCUGGUCUGAGAGGAUGAUCAGCCACACUGGGACUGAGACACGGCCCAGACUCCUACGGGAGGCAGCAGUGGGGAAUAUUGGACAAUGGGCGAAAGCCUGAUCCAGCAAUGCCGCGUGAGUGAUGAAGGCCUUAGGGUUGUAAAGCUCUUUUACCCGGGAUGAUAAUGACAGUACCGGGAGAAUAAGCUCCGGCUAACUCCGUG